AUGGGAAAGAAAGAUAAAGACAAAUCUUCCUCUAAAGUCUCUAGGUGCAUACUGUUGAUUGCCGUUGUGGGCUACUACUUGAUGGGGGCAAAGAUAUUUCAGGUUCUGGAGACAGACAAGCAGGAGGAGUUGAGAAAUUCCUUUUUGGAGGCCAAAGCAGCUUUAAUGAAGAACUACGCCCACAUAACUUCAGAUGAACUUGAAAUCUUUCUUCAGACACUGACUUUUUCUGUAAAAAAUGGAAUAAUCCCCUUAAAAAAUGGGACUCUUUAUCUAAGUUGGAAUUUUAAGAACUCUAUUUCAUUUGUGGCAUACACAUUAACCACAAUAGGUGAGUAUAGUACUUUAUUUUUAGUGUAA
rnacentral:lncRNA from 1 species